CUACGGGGGGCUGCAGUGGGGAAUAUUGGACAAUGGGCGAAAGCCUGAUCCAGCCAUGCCGCGUGUGUGAAGAAGGCCUUCGGGUUGUAAAGCACUUUCAGUGGGGAAGAAAGCCUUGGGGCUAAUACCCUCGAGGAAGGACAUCACCCACAGAAGAAGCACCGGCUAACUCCGUGCCAGCAGCCGCGGUAAUACGGAGGGUGCGAGCGUUAAUCGGAAUUACUGGGCGUAAAGCGCGCGUAGGCGGUCUGAUAAGCCGGUUGUGAAAGCCCCGGGCUCAACCUGGGAACGGCAUCCGGAACUGUCAGGCUAGAGUGCAGGAGAGGAAGGUAGAAUUCCCGGUGUAGCAGUGAAAUGCGUAGAGAUCGGGAGGAAUACCAGUGGCGAAGGCGGCCUUCUGGACUGACACUGACGCUGAGGUGCGAAAGCGUGGGUAGCAAACAGGAUUAGAUACCCUAGUAGUC
rnacentral:rRNA from 1 species